UACGAGGGGUGCAAGCGUUAAUCGGAAUUACUGGGCGUAAAGCGUGCGUAGGCGGCUUUUUAAGUCGGAUGUGAAAUCCCCGGGCUCAACCUGGGAAUGGCAUCCGAUACUGGGGAGCUGGAGUUUGGGAGAGGGUGGUGGAAUUCCCGGUGUAGCGGUGAAAUGCGUAGAGAUCGGGAGGAACAUCAGUGGCGAAGGCGGCCUCCUGGCCUAAAACUGACGCUGAGGCUCGAAAGCGUGGGGAGCAAACAGG
rnacentral:rRNA from 1 species